UGAGGAAUAUUGGUCAAUGGACGCAAGUCUGAACCAGCCAAGUAGCGUGCAGGAUGACGGCCCUAUGGGUUGUAAACUGCUUUUAUAUGGGGAUAAAGUGGGGAACGUGUUCCCUUUUGCAGGUACCAUAUGAAUAAGGACCGGCUAAUUCCGUGCCAGCAGCCGCGGUAAUACGGAAGGUUCGGGCGUUAUCCGGAUUUAUUGGGUUUAAAGGGAGCGUAGGCCGUUUGGUAAGCGUGUUGUGAAAUGUAGGAGCUCAACUUCUAGAUUGCAGCGCGAACUGUCAGACUUGAGUGCGCACAACGUAGGCGGAAUUCAUGGUGUAGCGGUGAAAUGCUUAGAUAUCAUGACGAACUCCGAUUGCGAAGGCAGCUUACGGGAGCGCAACUGACGCUAAAGCUCGAAGGUGCGGGUAUCAAACAGG
rnacentral:rRNA from 1 species